UUAAAAAACUAAAAAUAUGCUCCUUUAACUCUCUUACUAAUAUCUUAAUAAAUAUAAUUAUAAUAAAUGUGAUACAUUUAACAUUUUCUAUAACAUUUAAAAGGAAAAUGUUUAGAUUCAUUUUAUUGUCAUAAAAGAUCUGAUAUUAUUACCCAACAUUUCUCAUUCCUUAUAAUUUACUCUCAUUAUUUUUUCAAUUUUGUGAUCUUUUACAAAUUUAAGGCAUAACGUGGGAAGACCACGAACCUUCUAAUUAAACUGAAUAAUUAGUUCAUAUUAAUGUAACGGAAUUCUCUAUUUUGGUGGUGCUAAAUAUAUCCCGGGAAGAGCAAUUUAUUCAUUUAGAUUUUCAAGUAAUUUCAUAAAAUAUCAGAUGUACGUAGUAGUAACUUUUUCCCCGGCUUUGGUUUUAGACGCUACUAAAAAAAUAGAAGUUAGCAAAAAAUUCUAUUGUUAAACAGCAAAUCAGUUGCUAAUCUUAUUAAGUGAUCGAUUAACACGGAUUAUCAAAAAUAAUUAUUAGCUAUGAGCAAUUAAAUGACGGAUUAGCAACGAAGUUUGAAGCUAAUUUGUACGAAGUGUUAUUUUUCUUCUGAUUUCAAGACGAAAUUCUCUAUUUUGGUGGUGUCAAGAUAUAUCGCGGGCAGAGCAAUUUAUUCAAUCAGAUUCUCAGGUAAUUUUUUAAAAGAUAAGUUGCAGUAGUACCUUUUUUCCUUGUGGCUUUGAUUUCUAGACACUACUAAAAGAAUAAAAAUUAGCAAUGGACAAAUUCUGUUGCAACAACAAAUCAGUUCGUAAUUUUAUUUAGGACGGAUUUAGCACUAAGAGCAAUUUAAUGGCAGAUUAGCAACGAAGUUUAUAACUAAUUUCAGUUUUUUUUCCUAGUGAAAUACGAGAAAUGGAGGGACUGAUUGCAUGGGAGCUCAUGAGAAGAAGGUGCAAGCAUUUUACUCCUGUCGAAGAAGGGAAUUAUCCCAUUUAAAAUAACAGAUAGGUGAUCCAUAUUACGAUUCUUUUUCCAUUGAAGUUGGGUCUCCUCACACUUUUCUUAUAAUAUUCUUUUUGAUAUCCUGCAAUUCUGUGUUUACUAGAAAAAAUAUUUUUGUUUCGUUAUCCCGCCAUUGUAAAUGAUUUUCUUGCUAAUGAAUAUGCUUGUAUUUCAUUUAUCUUCUCAAUAUACAACAUAAAUAACACCACUAAUUUAAUUUUU